UCCGUAGGGUGCAAGCGUUGUCCGGAAUUAUUGGGCGUAAAGAGCUCGUAGGCGGUCUGUCGCGUCGGCUGUGAAAACCCGGAGCUCAACUCCGGGCCUGCAGUCGAUACGGGCAGACUGGAGUUCGGCAGGGGAGACUGGAAUUCCUGGUGUAGCGGUGAAAUGCGCAGAUAUCAGGAGGAACACCGGUGGCGAAGGCGGGUCUCUGGGCCGAUACUGACGCUGAGGAGCGAAAGCGUGGGGAGCGAACAGG
rnacentral:rRNA from 1 species